GGGCCUGGGCGCCGCGUUAUACAGGCGCACGGGUGCGUAACGCGUGGGAAUCUGCCCUUGGGUUCGGAAUAACUCGCCGAAAGGCGUGCUAAUACCGGAUGAUGACGUAAGUCCAAAGAUUUAUCGCCCAAGGAUGAGCCCGCGUAGGAUUAGCUAGUUGGUGAGGUAAGAGCUCACCAAGGCGACGAUCCUUAGCUGGUCUGAGAGGAUGAUCAGCCACACUGGGACUGAGACACGGCCCAGACUCCUACGGGAGGCAGCAGUGGGGAAUAUUGGACAAUGGGCGAAAGCCUGAUCCAGCAAUGCCGCGUGAGUGAUGAAGGCCUUAGGGUUGUAAAGCUCUUUUACCCGGGAUGAUAAUGACAGUACCGGGAGAAUAAGCUCCGGCUAACUCCGUGCCAGCAGCCGCGGUAAU
rnacentral:rRNA from 1 species